GCCCGGGUAGCUCAAUUGGCUAGAGCGUGGGACUUUUAAUCCCAAGGCUGGGGGUUCGAGCCCCCCCUCGGGCG